UUGGAAACUGACAACCACUCCUCCUUGCCC
rnacentral:piRNA from 1 species